rnacentral:rRNA from 1 species
AACGAACGCUGGCGGCAUGCCUAACACAUGCAAGUCGAACGAGACCUUCGGGUCUAGUGGCGCACGGGUGCGUAACGCGUGGGAACCUGCCCUUAGGUUCGGAAUAACUCCCCGAAAGGGGUGCCAAUACCGGAUAAUGUCUUCGGACCAAAGAUUUAUCGCCUUUGGAUGGGCCCGCGUUGGAUUAGCUAGUUGGUAGGGUAAAAGCCUACCAAGGCGACGAUCCAUAGCUGGUCUGAGAGGAUGAUCAGCCACACUGGGACUGAGACACGGCCCAGACUCCUACGGGAGGCAGCAGUGGGGAAUAUUGGACAAUGGGCGAAAGCCUGAUCCAGCAAUGCCGCGUGAGUGAUGAAGGCCUUAGGGUUGUAAAGCUCUUUUACCCGGGGUGAUAAUGACAGUACCGGGAGAAUAAGCUCCGGCUAACUCCGUG